rnacentral:tRNA from 1 species
GCGGUCGUGGCGUAAUGGCAGCCGCGCUGGACUUAGGAUCCAGUGGGAUAGUCUCCCGUGAGGGUUCGAAUCCCUCCGACCGCA